GUUUAGUUGACCCGAUUAGUCCCAUAAAUCCUCUUCUGCUUUUCGUCCCUUAAACAUCAGAAUCCAGUCACUUUCUUGCUAAGUAAUCGUCAACCAAGAUGAGAUGAUGUGGAGGAAUGAUUGUAGGACUUGUAAAAAUGCUUCAAGGAAUGGUGCCUCGAGUGCAAACUUUACCCCAACUUUAGCAUAGGUUACUCAACCUUUUAAGCAACAGGACACCAGCAGUCACAUAUGAGUCAGGUGCAAGGCAACUCCAUGCACCGGACCGCCCAGAGAGGCGCAACACAGCCCCAAAGAGGGUAAACUCGACUUGUGUUGGCAAGAAGAUUUUUAUUUUCACGCCAAGUGCACCGUCUAACUUGGGGCUCUGUGAUUGUUUUGUUU